ACUCUGGAACAAUAUUCCUUCAUCUGUAUUUCCUCCUGCCUACGACUUGAACUCUUUCAAGAGAAGGGUAUCAGGACACCUCUCCUCCCGAAACUGACCUAUCUUUCGGCCACCUCUUUGGAUUCUUUUUAGGAGCAGCGAGUAGCGGGCUUUUUUUUAUUAAUGUUUACUUUUUUGUGCCCUUGAGCUGUCUCCUAAUUAUAAUGUAUGGAGGAAGGAUAGAAAGGGUAAAGGUGGUGGAGGAGUGAUGCUAAUGAUGAGGAAGGAGUUAUUAGUGAAGUCAGUAGUACAGUACUGUCUCCAAGUUUGCAAUAAAUAGGUCAACGUUGCGGGUUGCGAACAUUGAAAUCGCAAACUUUGAACCAUUAUUCCUUUGGGGAAAAUUGACAACAGUCAACAUCUCAUCUGAAAUGCCGAGCCAAAAGCUGGCGAUAGAGAGAGCCGGAGCCCCCGCAGCCUAACGCGUUUCAUGGAAGGGCAGGAGACAUGCAGGUCCGAGCUCUCGGCACGAGUGGCGAGAGGGCUAUACCGCCACCGCGAAAUGCGAGCUGCAGCACACCGGGCUGUUGGCCCCACACUGCAUGAGUGUGUCCAGCCUGCGACCGGCACUGCAUGAACCCUGCAGUGAUCCCUGCCGCUGCCCCGCUGCGCUGGCUUUAGCGUGGACGGCGGAGGAGGACCGGGAGCAAACGGAGAGCGCCACGCCGGGGCUAUGAGGGCCCAAACGACGUGGGGGUAGAAGUGUGGGUGGGACCAAGGAUGAUAGACAUAUAAAGGAUAGCUCGCUUAGCAUUUGUUUUUCCCACAAUGCACCACGCUCGUGACAUCACAUGUAAACAGAGACGUCACUGGAGACCCACGUGUGGCCACGGCGCCACUGGAUUGAAGUUUCAGAGAACACCACACUUCAUAUGAUGUGUAAAUCCUUUAAUAAAACCAAGAUUCAAAUGAGACUUGCUGGUCUCCAGCGCGUCACCGCCAUGACGUCAUAGAACAUGUGACGUCAUGACUGAGUUGAUGAAGUUUCACUGAACUAUCCUCAGUUGGGUGGGACCGUGGGGGUGAGGUGAACAACGGCAGUGGGCGGCAGAAUACAGUGUUGUGGUGGUGACGCUACGCUGCGCCCUGACGUCACGACCCCCUCCGCCCUGUUAACUAGAGAAAAAACCACCACUCUCACGCACGCCACCUGCAAAGUUUGCGUCAUAUCACAAUUUCAGUUUUCAAUAAAAAUCUAUUUUUUGGGGUCCCUAUCGCAAACUCAGUGAAUCGCAAACUUGAAACUCACAAUCCUGGAGUCAGUACUGUAUAAGGAGAAGGAAAGGCAGAAAUAGUGAGUAAAUCUGGAGGACAAAAACAGAAAUGAUGACGAUAAUAACAACAUAUGUACCACCAAGAACAAACUCAUGGAACAGGGAAGAAUAUGAGACCACGAUUGAAGAUACCAUCCAGGGUCCAUACUUAUAAAGAAAUUAGGCGUUUGACUUAUGUCUCACCACAGUGACGAGUUUUCACCAUAGCUGGGGCUCCAGUCGCCACGGGUAGUGGGGAACGUAAAGUUGCCAACAACGGCGAGAUCAGUUAUCUCAUGAAAAUUAAUGGAUAAGAAUACCUUAAAUUGGUGUACAUCAUAUCCAUUAUAAGAGGGUUUUGUAAAGGCUAUAGUGAGUGUUUGAAUGUAAAGCGAUUUUGAUGAGCUGUCUGGCAACACCCAGCAAUGUUUACAUUUGAAGGUCGAUGCCUCAGACGAAGACCCAGGAUUUAUGCCUGCCCGGGACCAACUUUAGCUACUCGCGCCACGUUUCAGAUUAACACUUGGGAUAUAGGACUCCAUAGGCCUGGUUUGGGCUCUUAAGACGAGCCUGAGACGAGUGUUAGCUUUAUAACUAUGUGCCCAGAGUUUGAGUAGGUUACUCAAAGCUAUCAAAAGAGUCUUGUUAGUUGGAGAUUUUAACUGUAAGGAGGUAAAUUGGGAAAUACAGGUAACUCGAUUUACGUGAGUUUGGUUUACGCAUUUUUUAAAUAACACGGGGUCCAAAAUCCAAAUAAAUGUUUAAUUUACAAGUUUUUUUUCACUUAGACGCGAUAUUUUAUGGAGUGGCCACCAGAUGUCUCACGCAACUGGACUCACACGGCGCCGCGGCCACACAGCUGAGCUCAGUUCUUCCCGCGCUCCACUUGAACAACAAUACAGUACCCACGCUGCCACGCUACUCAACAAUAGAGGUGAGCAGGUACCGGUACCAGUACCGGUACAUACGGUACCAGCUAUACGGUACGGUACCGGUACCAAUACUAGCCAGUCGCUCAUGGUGUCCCUCAUUUCUUCCUCACACGAGUGAGGCUGAGACUGAGUGCCUGAGUGGAUAUCUCGGUGAUAUGGAUAUUCUCUCUCUCUCUCUCUCUCUCUCUCUCUCUCUCUCCACUGAAUGAAAUGAAUAUUUAUUUUUCGAUAGAAACCUGCCUCUUGUUUGAUUUACAUUGUUUUUGAUUUAACCGACCUCUUCAAGGACACAAUACUCGCGUAAAUCGAGUGUUACCUGUAUUUGAAAGUGGAGGUAGUGGAGCAGCAUGGGGGGAAAGAUUUUUAACCCUUUCAAUACAGUGACACAGACGUUGGCAUCACUAUGGAAAAGGUUAAGAGGAAAUGGAAGAGGAUUAAUCCUCUUCUAAACCUCUUAAUCCUCUUCCAUUUCCUCUUAAGAGGUUUAAAAGAGGCUUAAUCCUCUUCCAUUUCCUCCUAACCCUUUCCAUACUGUGACGCCGAAGUCUGCGUCAUGUAUUGAAAGGGUUAAGAUUAACGAUGGAAAACUUGAUGAUGUAAUGGGUGAAGGAAAACAAGAGAUACAGAAGUGAUGACAAACCGGCGAGACUGGACCUGGUGUUAACAAAGGGAAUGCACUUGUUGAAUGAGUUAAGGUAUGGGUGCCCCCUGGGAAAGAGUGAUAACGUGAUAAAUAGAGAUCGAAACAGAGGAGGAAGGAAGUGAGGGGGAUGAAUCAUAUAAAAGAAACAGGUUAAACUAUAGAAAGGCAGACAUGGAAAAUCUCAGUAACUACUAUGGAGAGCUAGACUGGGAAGAGAAUGGGAAUAAGAACAAGAGAGGUACAAGAAAAGUAUGAUAUUUUUAUGGAGUCGUAUAAAUCAGGAGUUAUGAAAUAUGCACCAGAACAUAAACCCAAAGAAAAAGGAAAAAAGGACUGGUUUAAUGCAAGAUGUGCUAAGGCAAAAGAAAAAGAAAAAGUGUGAAAGAGAUUGAAAAGAAAUAAAAAAACAAAGGAAUGAAGAAGAUUUUAAGGUAGCGAGAAAUGAAUACGUGAAAAUAAGGAGAGAAGAGAAAGGAUAUGAAAAG